rnacentral:rRNA from 1 species
UACGUAGGGUGCAAGCGUUAAUCGGAAUUACUGGGCGUAAAGCGUGCGCAGGCGGUGAUGUAAGUCAGAUGUGAAAGCCCCGGGCUCAACCUGGGAACUGCAUUUGAAACUGGCGGGCUUGAGUAUGGCAGAGGGGGGUGGAAUUCCGCGUGUAGCAGUGAAAUGCGUAGAGAUGCGGAGGAACACCGAUGGCGAAGGCAGCCCCCUGGGCCAAUACUGACGCUCAGGCACGAAAGCGUGGGGAGCAAACAGG